rnacentral:lncRNA from 1 species
UCUCAGUGUGUUCUGUCGACCAGCAGCAGCAUCACCUGAGUUCUCCGGCCCCGCCCCAAGCCACUGAAUUAAUCAGACUUGGGGCUGGGGCCCGGGCACUCUGUUUUAACAUGCUCCCAGGUGAUUCUGAUGCUGGCUAGUUUGAGAACCACUGCUGUGGUGGAGGUGCUCAGUGGGAUUGAGGUAAGAAGCACAGUAUGUUUUACCCACUUUACAACUUCAGAUGGUUCAGCCUUUGUUUUGCUCUUGAGUUCCUACUGCCUCCAUGUUUUGAAGUCCUUGGGGGUACAAGGGGAAGGGAGGACAUCUUGGGGGAUAGCAGCUCCCCUACUAAUAUUUUAUUGUGGCACUGUGGAGAUGUGCUCCAGGCCCUCCCCUUCCCCUCACUACUUUGACCACUUUCUUGCUCUGCCUUCCAGCCCUAGACUCCAAUAAAAUGUCACCAAGAAUGGAGUUGGGUGGAGGCUGAAGCUGGUUCGAGGGAUCCUGGCUUUGCUGCCCUCACCUUUCUCAUGACUUUUCCCUCAACCAGACAGCUAUUAAAAGAAACAACCCCAGGAAGUUUCUGCGAAGUGUUGGAGAUGGGGAGACUGUGGAGUUUGAUGUCGUGGAAGGAGAGAAGGGUGCAGAAGCUGCUAAUGUAACUGGGCCUGGGGGGGUGCCAGUGAAGGGCAGCCGCUAUGCCCCCAAUCGACGUAGGUUCCGUAGAUUCAUUCCUCGGCCUCGCCCGGCUGCCCCACCACCCAUGGUGGCAGAGGCUCCCUCAGGUGGGAC